rnacentral:rRNA from 1 species
CUGACGCUGAGGCACGAAAGCGUGGGGAGCAAACAGGAUUAGAUACCCUGGUAGUCCACGCUGUAAACGGUGAGUCCUAGGGGUCGUGCGUGACCCCCUUCGGUGCCGCAGCUAACGCAUUAAGUACUCCGCCUGGGAAGUCCGCUCGCAAGAGGGAAACUCAAAGGAAUUGACGGGGACCCGGACAAGUAGCGGAGCAUGUGGUUUAAUUAGAAGCAACGCGAAGACCCUUACCUAAGCUUGACAUCCCAAUGACAUCUCCUUAAUCGGAGAGUUCCCUUCGGGGACAUUGGUGACAGGUGGUGCAUGGUUGUCGUCAGCUCGUGUCGUGAGAUGUUGGGUUAAGUCCCGCAAC